rnacentral:rRNA from 1 species
UACGUAGGGGGCGAGCGUUGUCCGGAAUCAUUGGGCGUAAAGAGCGUGUAGGCGGUCCGAUAAGUCCGCUCUGAAAGCCCGGGGCUCAACCCCGGGAGGCGGGCGGAUACUGUCGGGCUAGAGUCCGGAAGAGGCAAGUGGAAUUCCUGGUGUAGCGGUGAAAUGCGCAGAUAUCAGGAGGAACACCGAUGGCGAAGGCAGCUUGCUGGGACGGUACUGACGCUGAGACGCGAAAGCGUGGGGAGCAAACAGG